rnacentral:lncRNA from 1 species
UUGAUGGAGGUAGCAGUUUGAACAUAGCUUCACAAGAACUUGUUGAGAAGCUCAACCUUAAAACAGAGAGACAUCCAAAUCCAUUCAGAGUAGCAUGGGUUAAUGACACCUCUAUCCCGGUAAGUUUUCUUUGUUUAGUAACAUUCCUUUUUGGUAAGGACUUUGAAGAGUCUGUAUGGUGUGAGGUCUUACCCAUUAAAGUAAGUCAUAUUUUACUUAGAAGACCUUGGCUCUUUGAUAGAAAAGUUCAACAUGACGGCUAUGAAAAUACAUAUGUUGUCAUACACAACGGACGUAAGAAGAUCCUUCGUCCAAUGAAAGAAGUCCCUCCAAUUAAGAAGUCGGAUGAGAAUGCACAACCAAAAAAUGUACUUACUAUGUGUCAAUUUGAAAAUGAGAGCAAGGAAACUAAAGUUAUUUUUGCUUUAAUGGUUUGGAAAGUGGAAGAAUUUAAAGAACAAGAUAAGGAAUAUCCAGCAAACGCACGUAAAAUCCUUGAUGACUUUUCUGACUUGUGGCUUGCAGAGUUACCUAAUGAACUCCCUUCUAUGCGUGACGUACAACAUGCCAUUGAUUUGAUUCCCGGUGCAUCAUUACCAAAUUUACCAGCCUACAGAAUGAAUCCAAUAGAGCAUGUUGAAUUGAAAAGGCAAGUUGAUGAAUUACUUACUAAAGGCUUUAUUCAUGAAAGCCUAAGUCCUUGUGGAGUUCUUGCCCCACUAACACCAAAGAAGGAUGGAUCAUGGCGGAUGUGUGUGGAUAGUCGUGCAAUCAACAAAAUCACAAUCAAGUAUCGAUUUCCAAUUCCAAGACUUGAUGACAUGCUAGAUAUGAUGGUUGGAUCAAUAAUCUUCUCAAAGAUUGAUCUAAGAAGUGGAUAUCAUCAAAUACGUAUUAGACCAGGGGAUGAAUGGAAGACAUCUUUCAAAACUAAGGAUGGAUUGUAUGAGUGGUUAGUCAUGCCGUUUGGACUAACCAAUGCUCCAAGUACCUUCAUGCGGAUUAUGACGCAGGUAUUAAAACCUUUUAUUGGACGGUUUGUUGUUGUCUAUUUUGAUGAUAUUCUUAUCUAUAGUCGAUCUUGUGAAGAUCAUGAGGAACACUUGAAGCAAGUAAUGCACACUCUUAGGGCUGAAAAGUUUUACAUUAAUUUGAAAAAAUGUACUUUCAUGAGCCCUAGUGUUGUAUUUCUUGGCUUUGUUGUGUCUUCUAAGGGUGUUGAAACAGAUCCGGAGAAGAUCAAAGCUAUUGUUGAUUGGCCAGUACCAACAAAUAUCCAUGAGGUGCAAAGCUUCCAUGGAAUGGCUACAUUCUAUCAACGAUUUAUUCGAAAUUUUAGCUCUAUUAUGGCCCCAAUUACUAAAUGCAUGAAACCUAGUUUAUUUAUUUGGACCAAGGCGGCCAACAAGGCAUUUGAAGAAAUCAAAUCCAAGAUGGUGAACCCUCCUAUCCUACGCCUACCAGAUUUUGAGAAAGUAUUUGAGGUGGCCUGUGAUGCUUCCCAUGUGGGAAUUGGAGCAGUCCUUAGCCAAGAGGGACAUCCUAUGGCUUUCUUUAGUGAGAAGCUCAAUGGGGCAAAGAAAAAAUACUCCACAUAUGAUCUUGAAUUCUAUGCAGUGGUGCAAGCAAUUAGGCAUUGGCAACAUUAUCUCAGUUACAAGGAAUUUGUUUUGUAUUCAGAUCAUGAAGCCUUGCGAUAUCUUAAUUCUCAAAAGAAGCUUAACUCUCGACAUGCAAAAUAGAGUAGUUUUCUUCAACUGUUUACCUUUAAUUUAAGGCAUUGUGCAGGAAUUGAAAAUAAAGUAGCUGAUGCCCUUAGCAGGAAGACCCUUCUCUUAGUAAACAUGUCAACCACUACAAUUGGAUUUGAAGAAUUAAAGCAUUGCUAUGACAAUGAUGCUGAUUUUGGAGAUGUUUAUUCCUCUCUUUUGAGUGGUUCAAAAGCAACAUGUAUUGAUUUCCAGAUUUUAGAAGGGUACUUGUUUUAUAAAAAUCGUUUAUGCUUACCAAGGACUUCUCUACGGGAUCAUGUCAUAUGGGAACUUCAUGGAGGCGGAAUGGGUGGACAUUUUGGACGAGAUAAGACCAUUGCUUUGGUGGAAGAUUGCUUCUUUUGGCCUAGUUUAAAGAAGAAUGUUUGGAAGGUUAUCAAACAAUGUCGAGCAUGUCAAGUAGGAAAAGGUUCAAAGCAAAAUAUGGGGUUAUAUACCCCAUUACCAGUUCCUUCCAAACCUUGGGAAGACUUGAGCAUGAAUUUUGUACUUGGAUUACGAAGGACACAACGGGGCUUUGAUUCUAUAUUUGUUGUGGUUGAUAGAUUUUCCAAAAUGGCACAUUUUAUCCCAUGUAAGAAGGUUUCGGAUGCUUCUUAUGUUGCUGCCUUAUUCUUUAAAGAAGUAGUUCGAUUGCAUGGAUUACCACAAUCCAUUGUUUCUGAUCGCAAUGUCAAGUUUAUGAGCUAUUUUUGGAAAACCUUGUGGGCCAAGCUAGGUACUCAAUUAAAAUUUUCAAGUUCUUUUCAUCCUCAAACUGAUGGACAAACAGAAGUUGUCAAUCGCAGUCUUGGUAAUAUUUUGAGAUGCAUUGUGAGAAAUCAGUUGAGAAAGUGGGAUAAUAUCUUACCACAAGCCGAAUUUGCUUUCAAUAGCUCCACUAAUCGUACUACUGGGUACUCACCUUUUGAAGUGGCAUAUGGGUUGAAACCUAAGCAACCUGUUGAUCUUAUACCAUUACCUACUUCUGUCCGCACCAGCCAAGAUGGUGAUGCAUUUGCACGUCAUAUACGAGAUAUACAUGAAAAGGUACGAGAAAAAAUCAAAAUCAGCAGUGAGAACUAUAAAGAGGCAGCAGAUGCACAUCGAAGAUAUAUUCAGUUUCAAGAAGGUGAUCUAGUGAUGGUUCGUUUACGAUCAGAAAGAUUUCAUCCGAGCACAUAUCAAAAGCUUCAAGCUAAGAAAGCGGGUCCAGUUCGGGUACUAAAGCGGUUGGGUGAGAAUGCUUAUUUGUUAGAGCUCCCUUCAAACUUGCAUUUUAGUCCAACAUUUAAUGUGGAAGAUUUGUAUAUCUACCAUGGCCAUCACAACGAUGUAAGUGAAGAGUUGGAUCUUCAAUUACCACCUACUCUUAGCCCACAUCCUGAUAUCGAGUAUGUUCUUGAUGAUCAACUUGUGUCUACUCGACAAGGUGGAUAACAAAAAAUUUUGGUGAAAUGGCGAGGCAAACCACAUUCUGAGAAUACAUGGAUUACGACAACGAAUUUUCAGAAGAUUAGCCCCGAUCUCUAUGAAUUGUAUUAAGCAUCUAACUCGUCGCAGCCGAGUUCUUUCAAGCCGGGGAAAAUUGAUGGGGGAAAGCCUUUUAAAGUUUAUUCAAGGAAGAAAAGGAAAACCUAAGUAAACUUUAAGCAGGAUUAAUAUUAAUUAGAAUUGAAUAGGGGUUGGUAUUUGUUGGAGUCUAAUUAGGAUUAGCUAGUUGAGUUAUAAUAUAAUUAGAAUUUGAGUCAUGAUAGGUUAUUAGAGUCCUAGUAGAAUAGGUUAUUAGAAUCCUAGUAGACUUUGGAUUUCUUAGAGAAGCCUAUAAAUAGGCUAAUCAAUGUAAAUCAAAGGAAUGAAUUUUGAUGAAUAAUAUUAUACUUUCUUUCAUUGCAAGGUUGCAACCCUCAAUGGUGAGACUCCAUUGAUUUUCUUUUAGGUGAGACUCCUAGAAGGCCUUAGUGAGACUUUAAGGUUUUCCAUCUUUUCUUCAUUGUUUCUUCUUUCUCUCUAUUUCUUAUCUUAUAAUUUUCUCUACCAUAAAGUUUAUUCCUUGUUCCUCUCCUUACACCCUAAAAAUAAAACCCUAGUCCACCUACCCUUAAGUGUAGGCAACCAUCCUAGGGUUGUCCUACAUCAAUUUACUAAGGUUUUCUAGGAGUCUCACCUAGAAGAAAAUCAAUGGAGUCUCACCAUUGAGGGUUGCAACCUUGCAAUGAAAGAAAGUAUAAUAUUAUUCAUCAAAAUUCAUUCAUUUGAUUUACAUUGAUUAGCCUACUUAUAGGCUUCUCUAAGAAAUCCAAAGUCUACUAGGACUCUAAUAACCUAUUCUACUAGGACUCUAAUAACCUAUCAUGACUCAAAUUCUAAUUAUAUUAUAACUCAACUAGCUAAUCCUAAUUAGAUUCCAACAAAUACCAAUCCCUAUUCAAUUCUAAUUAAUAUUAAUCCUACUUAAAGUUUACUUAGGUUUUCCCUUUCUUCCUUGAAUAAACUUUAAAAGGCUUUUCCCCAUCACUCAGUAAGUUAUGUACACACGGGAGAAAAAUGGGAUCGAAAUAAUAUUGUUAUUAACAAUAUUUUCGCUUUCUAAGUGGCCUCCGAUAUCAUAAGAAAUUAUGAAGAUCUUGAACCACAAAAUGUGGAAGAAUACCAACAUAGAAAUGAUUGGCCAAAAUGGAAAAAAGUUAUAUAGGCAAAGUUAAACUCAUUAACAAAAUGAGAAUUUUUUGGACCUGUAGUCCAAACACCUGAAAUGUAAAGCCUGUUAGGUACAAAUGGGUAUUUGUACAAAAGCGUAAUGAAAAUAAUGAGAUCAUAAGAUAUAAAGCACAAUUAGUAGCACAAGUUUCUCGUAGAGACCUGGUGUUGACUACGAGAAAACAUACUCUCCCAUCAUAGAUGCAAUCACAUUUCGUUUCUUAAUUAGUUUGGAAGUCUCAGAAAAACUAGAUAUGCGUCUCAUGGAUGUUAUUAUAGCAUAUCUAUACAGAUCUAUGGAUAAUGAUAUAUACAUGAAAAUCCCUAAAGGAUUUAAAUUGUUUAAAGCAAAUAGUACAAAGCCUCGUAGCAUGUACUCAAUCAAGUUACAACGAUCCUUGUAUGGAUUAAAGCAAUUUGGAAGCAUGUGGUACAAUCGCCUUAGUGAAUACUUGCUAAAAGAAGGGUAUGUGAAUAACCUUAUAUGCUCAUGCAUCUUCAUUAAGAAAUUAGAAAUCGGAUUUGCAAUUAUUGCAGUGUAUGUUGAUAACUUAAAUCUUGUUGGAACUCCUGAAGAGCUCACAAAAACAACAAAUUACUUGAAAAAAGAAUUUGAGAUGAAAGAUCUUUUGAAACAUUUUUAUAUGGAUAAAACGCAUCCUUUAAGUUCUCCAAUGGUUGUCAGAUCACUUGAUGUGAAAAAUAGCUCAUUUCGUCCUUGCGAAAAAAAUGAAGAAUUACUUGGUCCUGAAGCACCAUAUCUUAGUAUUAUUGGUGCACUUAUGUAUCUUACCAAUUAUACACGUCUAGACAUUGUUUUUUCUGUCAAUUUAUUAGCAAAAAACAGUUCUACUCCAACUCGAAGACAUUGGAAUGGUAUCAAACAUAUAUUGCAUUAUCUUCGUAGAACUACUGAUACGAGUAUAUUUUACUCAAGGAAAUCAAAGCAACAAUUGCUUGGAUAUGAAGAUGUAGGAUAUCUUUCAGAUCCAUAUAAAGGUAGGUCACAAAUAGUGUAUGUGUUUAAUUGCAAUGGUACUACUAUUUCAUAGAGAUUUGUCAAACAAACAAUAAUGGCCACAUCAUCAAAUCAUUUAGAAAUAUUGACAAUUCAUGAAGCAAGUCGUGAAUGUAUAUAGCUAAAAUCUAUGAUCCAACAUAUUUGGGAAUCAUGUGGACUCUCUUCUAUCAAAAGUGACCUGACAUAUUAUUGGAAAAUAAUGUUGCAUGCAUUACAUAGAUAACAGUGGGUUAUAUUGAAGAAAAUAGAACUAAACAUAUUUCAUCAAAAUUCUUUUAUACACAUGAACUCCAAAAGAGUAGUGAAAUUGAUGUGCAACAAAUACGCUCAAGUGAUAAUCUAUCAGAUUUAUUCACAAAAUCAUUGUCAACCUCAACAUUCAAGAAGUUAAUACACAAUAUUGAAAUGUGUCAACUCAAGGAUAUUGACAUGAGGGAAAGUAUGCUUGUAAAAAGGUGUUAGUGUACUAUACUAUUUUUCCCUUCUUCCAGAUUUUGUCCCAUUGGGUUUUAUUGGCAAAGUUUUUAACGAGGCAAUCCUAACAUACCAAGAGCAACUUAAAGAAUUAUAAGAAUAUUGUACUCUUUUUCCUUCACUAGGUUUUUCCCAUAAGGUUUUUUACUAACAAUGUUUUAAUGAGGCAUAUUUUUCUAAUGUGGUAGAUAUCUAAGGGGAAGUGUUAUAAUUGAAAUAAUGAAUGUCACCACAUUAAUUAUAAUAAAUAUUAAUUAAAUAUUAUUUAUGGUUUCUAAUACUCAUUAAUGGAAACCAUUAAAUAUUAUUUAUGAGUUCCAUUAAUAUGAACAUUAAUGGAAGUCAUUUCGAAAGCCUAUAAAAGCAUUUCUCAUCCCCUAUAAUAUGUGCCUCCAAAUAAGAAAGAAAUUUUUUUUUCCUCUCAUUCUCUCAAUUCUCUCCUGUGAUUCCUUCUUCCCAUUAUAUAUAUUGUUAAAGUCAUAUAUAUAUAUUUUAUCUCUACUUUGAAUUUCGUUGCAUUUAUCCUCAUUUUACAACAAUAUGAAAAUUAUCUUUUGAAGAGAUAAAAAAAAACUCUAAUUUCUCUAAUUUAAUUAUUAAAUAUUAAAUUUAUUUUAAAAAGUAACUUUAAGUUUUAAAAUUUAUACUAAAAUAAUCCAUUCAAAAAAUAAUUCAAUAUAUUGACCAAAUUAAAUUUCUUUUCUUAUUUCUCUAUUCCAACUUCACAAUAACUCCAUUUUUAAUUACUCAAAUUGUCAAAUUUUUGGAAUUUUCUCUAUUUAUUCCUUUUAUUUUUAUUAAUAUUAAUAAAGGCUAAAAUUGAAUAUUUGUCACAUGGCCAAAUUUACCCUUUUCAAAUAUGUUCAUAAUUUCUUUGUUCAAAUUCUAUAUAUUUGGUUUUUGAAUUUUGAAGCAAUAUCUAUAUUUUUUAAAAAGGAAAAUUUGAAUUUUAUUUAUUUGAUUGUUUUUAAUUUGUUCAACCUAUUUUAAUCAAUUCAAGGAAAAUUUGGGCUCCAAUCAAGCCCAAUACAACUUAACUUGCCUUAUGGAACGAACUUGGGAUGCGUUCGUACUUACAACCCCAAGGCCCAAUCCUUUAAGAAUCAAUAUUAAGCACGUUGGGCUACUUUUUAAAAUAGUUUAGGCUGGACCUUUUUUCGAGAAUAGUUUUCUGUUCUUCGGAAUAAAAAAAUAAUUAAAAAAAACACAUUCGAUAACUAGAAACUAUUUUCUUAUUUAUUUUCUUAAGAACAUAAAAUAGAGUGUUUUUAGAGAACACUUUUAGUUAUUUUAUAUUAUUUUUACUUGUUUUUUUAUGAUUGUUUUAGAAAAUAAUUAUACAAGUACGUAGAAUGAUUAAAAAUAAAGUAUUGAAGACUUUUAUUUUAUAAAAAAUCAUAAUACAAUUUUUAAAAACUAUUUUUCAAAAAUAUUUUUGAAAAUAGUUAUCAAACAAAACCUUAGAAUUUGUUUUUCAAAUUUUCAAAAACUAUAGGCAUUUUAACAAUAAAAAAUAAUUCACAGCCUAGUGUCCAUUUGAUAUAUUUCUUGUUUUUUAUUUUUAAAUAAAAUAAAAAAAUGUAUCUUAUCUUUCCAAAAAAUAACGAGGUGUAAAAUUUGAAAUAAUAAAUUUUUUUAAAUAAUUUGUAAAAUGAUUACUUUUUUAAUACAUGCUUUUAAAAGUUUUUGUAUCUUAUAAAUAAGUAGUAUCAAAACAAAUGCUUAGAGCGUGUUUGACAGUUAAUUAAAAUAUUUCCUCUAAAAAUAUUUUUAGGAAAAAUGAACUUUAAUGUGCUUCUUAAUAAUAUGUUUAACAAUGAUUUUAAAAAGUGUUUCCAACAUUUUUACUAUUUGAAAAAAAAAAAUUAAGUAUUAAAAAUAUUAAAAAUAUUUUCUAAAAUCAUUAUCAAAUGCGCUUGAAUCUUACAAAAUAAUUAUUAUUUUUUAAAUAGUUUUUAAGUUAAAAAUGUUUUUUUAAAAACCCCGCCCAACAUACUCUUAAAUAUAUAUUAAUUUAUUUUUAAAAAUAAAGAUUGUGUUUAACUUCCCAUUUUGUUGAGAUUGAUUUUAUUAAAUAAGCAUGAUCAUUGAAAUUAAGAAUAAUUUUGAUAUUUUUAAAUUUUUUAAUUAAUUAUUUUUUGUUGGGGGUGGGGGGUUCAUUGUUUUCUUUAAAAACCCCUUAAAAAUAUUUAUGAAAAAAUUGUUUCCACUUCGAUGAUGACUCGAAAACUUUUGUUGCUUUUUAGGAUGACACUUUUUGAAAAGACUAUCAUACAUUCGUGAUGCUUUCUAUAAAAACAAAUGAAUUUCCCGGAAGGAGCUGCUUUCAUUUCUGUGGGAGUGUGGAAGUAUCUCUUCCACAAAAGCCAAAGAAAAAGGCAGCAUCAUAUGAAGGCAUUUCCAUGGAUUCACUCUGAUUUGUAGCAUUCUCUGAAAUUUCCUUCUCCUCUUUCUUCAGAAAGGCACCAUGAAUAUUUAGAUGUACAUGGAUCCUGCAAAUUUUCCUGGAAAACCAUAUUCCUUCAUUUCUUCUCAAUCAUGUAGCAGUGAAUACACCACCCAUACACCAUGGAGUCUAUCUUGUUUGUCACCUUCACAGCUGCCACCAUUCUCAUUCUACUUCCCAAUGACCAUGCCAACAGAAACCCAGUACAAAAAAUCAUCUUCAAGGGCCUCCCAUCAGCCUUUCAUGCCUUUGUGUUAUCCAUCAUGUUUGCCUUCUCCGCUGCAUUUGCAGCCACUCUGCUGAUCCACAAGAUUCCCCAGAUUGCAAGGCUUUGCAAAUUGUGUUCCCUGGCUUCCAUGGUGUCGGCUUUCGGGAUACUGAUUUGGGCCAUCUCUAAUUCCUGGGCAGAUAUGGUGAAUGGUACAGCAUGCUCAGGAUGAAGACAUUAAGGGAGGAUCACCUGCUUUGUUUCAUUUGUACAAAUUGAAAUGAAUAAUGAAAUGAGAGGAUUUAUAUUUAUCAUGAACAAAUGAAGGUCUCACAGUUUUAAUUUGACCCACUAUGCAAAUCUUGAUCCAUGCUGAUAUCCCCAGCCAAAAACCUGUAAAAUUUGCCAUCGACUUCAAUGGUACUACCCCCAGCAGUUUUAGCAAUCCCCGAUUCGUUCAUCCUCUCCCUCCAUCUAUUGGCUUCUUUCCAUUGGCCACAUGAUGCAUACAAGUUCACAAACAUCAUAAACUCUCCAUCACUCACAUGAUGAGCCUUGGAAGUAAUCAAGUUUAUCACCUUCUCUCCAGUCUCAAGAUCCUGAUGAAUCACACAGGCACCAAGCAAGGCACCCAAGAUGCUUUCUCCGGGUUCAAAAGGCAUGGCUUUUAUGAGCUGAAAUGCAGGGUCAAGAAAUCCAGCUCUACCCAGAAGAUCAACCAUGCAGCCAUAAUGCUCUAACUUGGGUGGAAGGCCAAACUCCUUUUCCAUGCAAUCGAACAACCGGCAACCCUCUUGGACCAAGCUACGAUGACUACAUGCACUGAGAAGUCCAAUGAAGGUGAUUUCAUCAGGCCUUACACCAUUAUCCCGCAUUUUGUCUAAGAGUUUGACAGCAGCAUGACCAUAGCCAUGAAGAGCGAGUCCGGAGAUGAUGGCAUUCCAACAAUAAAUAUCCUUUACUUGAGACUUAUAGAACACCUCUAGUGACCUCUGUAUGGUUCCACACUUUGCAUACAUAUCGAUUAAUGAUGUGGCUACAUGGGGACUUGAUGCCAGCCGAUGAUCUUGAGCAUAUACGUGCAUCUCAGUGCCUUUUCCCAGCCACCCUAAAUGGGCACAAGCAGAUAGAACGAGAGUAACGGUCAGAUGGUCAGCCUCAUGGUUUCCGGCUUUCAUCUCAUCAAAUAAAUCAACAGCCUCAGCAUAAAGUUGGGCAUGUAAGUAGCCAGAAAUCAUUGUGUUCCAUGUAAUGACGUUUUUCUUAGGCAUUACAUCAAACAAGUUCCGGGCAUUACCCAUAUCGCCAACAUUGGUACAUGCCAGAAUCAUCGAGUUCCAUGACACGAUGUCCUUAGCAUGAAUUCUAUCAAAGAUGCUUCUGGCAGCCGCUUUUUUUCCUAUUUUUGCAUACCCAGAAAUCAUGAUAUUAAAAGAUGCAAGGUCCUUCAGAGGCAUAUUAUCAAACAGUUUCAUGGCAUUAUCCAUCUGACCACAAGAAGCAUAUGCAGCUAACAUGGAAUUCCAAACAACUACAUCUUUCACACCCAUCUCCUCAAACACCUUAGUGGCAUGAUCAAUGGCCCCAAAGGCCGAGUACAUGUCCAACAGAGCCGUCCCCACAAAACAAUGGCCAGAAAAACCGGUUUUCAUGGCCUGGCCAUGGAGAGCAAAACCAAUACAACAAGAAGAAAGACUUGAAGCUGCUUUGAGUAAAACAGGAAAUGUAAAAUUAUCAGCAUCAAACCCAACUCGUUUCAUUUCGACAUAAGCAAGAAUGGCUUGAUCUGGAUUACCCUGGCUUACUCGCCUCUUUAUAACCUUAUUCCAUCUUUGCAGUCCUGAGUCAACCGAGGACAAUGAAUAAAGGAAGCUGCAAUGGAAAAGAGCCAUCAGACUAUAGAGUAUCCAUUUGGGCAUACCAGUACCCUAAAAAAACCAAGUCUCAAAAGCAGAGAAUCUGGGAAUAUAGAAGAAUCAAGAAAAAUUAGAGUAAAGACAAACUGAAGACCUUAUCACAUAUUGAAAAUUUGGCCCACCAUGGUGGCCUGGGUAGCAAAAACCAAAUUACUUGGUACAUAUAAAUUCAAAAUCUAAUGUAACAACUGGAUAACAACAAAGCCUGCUCAUCUCCGGGUUCUGGGAAUAAAUAUCUAGAACCUGAGAGAGAUACAAGGCAUUAUGCUAAUCCUCACUUAAUAAACAAAUUCAUGAAAAAAGAGAAAAACUCAAAAAAAAAAUAUACAACUGAAUAAAAUUCUGUAGUUUCCUGGUCCACUGGUGACAAAUUGUAAAACUGGAAAGCAAGAAACUAUGGCAAAAUAUGGGAAGAAUAAAUAAAAGUAUUGCAAUUAUUUGAUCUCCCCUGUUAUAGAAAGCUGAGCAGCUUCCUGCGAUGACUAAGACACAGCCUGGAAUCAACCAAGCAAACUCUUGCAGUCCUGGAUAUCAAGUCUAUGUUUUUCCAUCAAUCCUUGCCCCAAAGGGUCUGAGCUAAUGCCGCUCAUGACAGCAUCAAAGAUGGCUGCCUGGAACCUGUCAUCUUCCACCUUCUCCAGGACCUCCUUCACCACCUUGAAGUCUAAACCCCCGGCCAAAACCAGCUUCCCAAGAACCUCACCGAAGUUAUUUGGUGCUUUUGGUAAAUCAAUGCCAACAUCAUCCAACAGUGAGCCAUAGAGGAGACAUCCAGUCCCUAAAUCCCUAGCCAGCAAAACAUUUUUAUUGAACAAGUACACAAGAAGCUUUAUGACUGGUUCUACACAAGGUGGACUCUUUUCCAGGGCAAGGCUAACAGCUUCUUUAACAACCUCAGGGUGAUAUGCAGGAGAUUUCAGCUCCUCAACACACUGUAAUGCUUCAUCAAGAAUUCGAACACUGAAAUAUUCCUCCAGAAGGGAGACAGUUUUUCUACGAAGAUCAACAGGAUUUGAUCUUGGUGCAGCAGCCUGUGGUUUCUCAGGAGUACGAACAGGUGCUGCCUGAGAAACAGGCUUAGGGGUUUGACUAAUAGGCUCAACUCCCAAAACAAAGCUGGAAGGCUGUUGAGAUGUCGAUGCAGAACUACCCUGCAAUAAGGCACUUGUCUUCCCACUUAUGAAACCCCCACUGCC